UUCGGAUUCAGAGGAACGAGUCAAAGGUAGAAAUGUGGCUGGAUUUUAAACCUACUCUGGUUUCCAAUCUUCAAAAAUACUGAAACUGAGAGAUAGCCUAAAGAUAAAGAGAUAUUCACGGACCCUCAGCUGGAGCAGCUGGUGUAAACACCAUGGAAGACAGAAGCUGCACAGAGAAACAGCAGCCUUCACUGACCCAGAGAGUGGAAACGAUGGCGUCUGUGAUAGAGCUGCUUUUGGAAACACUGAAAGAUUUGAGUGACGAGGAGUUUGAGGAGUUCAAGAGUCAGUUUCAAUUCCUCAGAUCUGACUUAUUUAUGUUUGAGACAAAAGGCAUCCAAUCAUUGCUGCUGAAAAUAAUAGACCUGCAGGACACAGUGUUUUCAAUGGUGCAGACUUUUAGCCACAAGUCUGUGGAGAAGACCAAGGAGGUUUUAAAGAAGAUGAAGAGGACUGACCUGGUGCAGAGGUUGUCUGACAGCAGCUCAGGAGACAAAAAAAAACACUCAGUGGAUGAACACCUGUCUGCACUCAUCCACAAAGUGGCGACAAUGGCGGCUGUUAAAGAGCUGCUUUUGGAAACAUUCAGUGAUUUGAGUUACAAGGACCUCAAUACCUACAAGUGGCUGCUGCAGUUUUCGUUGUUCAAGAGGAACCUUCCACAACUCUCAUGGGAUCAACUGUGGGCAAACAGUGUAGACCAACUGGUGGAUGUGAUGGUCGAGAAAUACAGUCAACAGUCUGUGGAGGUGACGAAGGAGGUUUUCAUGGACAUGAACAGGAUGGAUCUGGUGCAGAGGCUGUCAGAGACCAGCUCAGGACUCAAAGAGAAACACUCUGUGGAUGAACAUUGGCCAGCACUGACCCAGAAAGUGGAAACGAUGGCGUCUGUGAUAGAGCUGCUUUUGGAAACAUUGAAGGAUUUGAGUUAUGGGGAGGUCAACAAGUUCAAAAGGGUCCUGAGGCGUGUUCACUCAACAAACAUAUCAUGGAGGCUGCUGGAGACAAUGGACCUGCAGGACACAGUGUUUUUUUUGGUGCAGACUUUUGGUCAACGGUCUGUGGAGACGACCAAGGAGAUUUUAAAGAAGAGGAAGAGGACUGACCUGGACCAGAGGUUGUCUGACAGCAGCUCAGGAUCC
rnacentral:lncRNA from 15 species